rnacentral:rRNA from 1 species
AACGAACGCUAGCGGGAUGCCUCAAACAUGCAAGUCGUACGCGAAAGUCUUCGGAUGAGUAGAGUGGCGCACGGGUGAGUAACACGUAGCUAACAUACCCUUUCGCUGGGGAUAACUCCGGGAAACCGGAGCUAAUACCGAAUGAUCUGACGAGUUCUUUGGAACUUUUCGGUAAAGCCGUAAGGCGCGAGAGGAUUGGGCUGCGGUCUAUUAGCUAGUUGGUGAGGUAAUGGCUCACCAAGGCUACGAUAGAUAGCUGGUCUGAGAGGAUGAUCAGCCACACUGGAACUGAAACACGGUCCAGACUCCCACGGGAGGCAGCAGUUGGGAAUUUUGGACAAUGGGGGAAACCCUGAUCCAGCAAUCCCGCGUGAGUGAUGAAGGCCUUCGGUCGUAAGCUCUUUGUUCCGGAAGAAAGACAAUCGGUUAAUACCCGGUUGUUCUGACGGUACCGGAAGAAUAAGCACCGGCUAACUUCGUGCCAGCAGCCGCG